GCCAUUUGUAUGUAUUCUUUGGAGAAGUAUCUAUUCAUGUCUUCUGCCCAUUUUUUGAUGUGAUUAUCUGUUUUGUGUGUGUUGUUUGAGGAGUUCUUUAUAGAUCUUGGAUAUCAGCCCUUUGUCUGUAGUGUCAUUUGCGAAUAUCUUCUCCCAUUCCGUGGGUUGCCUCUUUGUUUUGUUGACUGUUUCCUUUGCUGUGCAGAAGUUUUUUUUUUUUUUUUUUUUAGUUUAAAUGCAAUUUUAUUUUUAGACAACCUACAUGACAUGUUUUUCUCUUAAAAACAAUGCCUCCGCUCCAAAUAAAUCAGGGUCAAAAUAAAUGAAGAGCUCAAGAUGACAUCAGUCCCAUUUGUCUAAGUCCUGGUGUUGUGUGGAUGAAGAGCAGCAGCCAGUUACGACAACAGGUGAUACAUCCAAAGUAAUGGCCAGAUGAAUAACUGGUGGUUUUUGAAAUUAGCAAGGAUGUGCUUGAUUUGUUCUGCAGCCCCUGUCAUAAAAGGCUAUACUCUUUCUGGCCUCUGUUCUUCAAGUUUGCCUUUGGUGGAUUUCAUUUAAUCUUUGAUGCACUUCUUGUAGGCUUCUUUUGUGAAGCUGGUUUCCUACAAGUGAUGGUUCAUGACAAUAUCAACACCAGUGAUGACUGUGCUUUCAGUACCUUCGCCCUCCGGGCCUUCAGCAGAGGCAUUUCCACCAAUGAGCGAGUCAUCAAUGUUACCCUCUGUCCUACUGACCAUGGCUGAUGAGGUCCCGGUAGAUGAUCAUGAUGACGGCUGAAGAGAGAUGACGGCUGCACUACCUUAGCAAGAGCCGGGAGCUCUGAGCGAGCGCGGUGCAGCCAGAGCAGCACUGUUGGGGGGGGGGGGGGAAGUGGGCGGAAAAGGCCGACUCAGAAGC
rnacentral:lncRNA from 1 species